UGCAAUGAUCCAGGACAGUUCCAAAGGACCUAUGAGAAAAAAAAGCUAUCCACAUUGAAAGAAGGAACUAUGGAAGUAGAAAUACAGAAGAAAAACAUGAUUUAUCACUUGUUUAUAUGAGUAUAGAAUUUGUGGUUUUGUUUUUAAAAGACUCUAUUACAAAAAUGAAUAAUAUGGAAAUAGUAUUGAGUGAUAUAAUACAUGUAUGACCCAGUAGAAUUGCUUAUCAGUUCCAGAAUGGGGGAGGGAAAAGAGGAGAAAGAGAACGUGAAUCAUGUAACCUUCGAAAAAUACUUUAAAAAUACAUUUAAUUAAAAAAAAAAGGAGUGCACAGAAAGAAGAAAUCACAAAAAACAUUACCAUAUUAACUAAAUUGUUCCCCUUAAAAAAAAGAAUAGUGGGGAAAAAAAACAGGUAUCCCUUCCACACAGUGGGGGAUAGAGGAACAGCACUCCCACAAUCUGCAAAAUUGCAUAACAUUUUUUGGCCUCCCCUUCACACAAGAAAAGUAUACUGUAUUUUCUCUUUUUCUUUGAUGAGGUGUUUAUAGUAUUUUAUUGUUAAGUAUUUGGUCAUAGGCUAUAUAGUUUCUAAACUUUUUCUAGGUCAUCUACUGGCCUUCAUAUAUCAUCUGUGGCUUCUACAGAACUCCUAAGUUUCCAUUUAAUUUCUUAUGCUGACUGGCUAUAUAUCAAAAAUCAUGAUGUGAAAGUUUAAAAAAAGUCAUAAUGUGGAAGGGAUAACUGUACUUUAGUUUGCACUCAGAUUUCAUUAAUUCUCUCUGAAGACAUUUAAAAGUAACAUUUUUCAUCACAAAUUCUACAUAAUUCUAUUAGAUCACUACUGAUUAGAAUAGCUAAAUCUUUCACAGUUGAUCAUUGUUACAAUAUUGCUGGUUACUCAGUACAAUGAUUUAUUAGUUCCCCUACCUCUCAUAUGAAUAUCAAAUUAUAUUGGUCUUCCCAGGUUUUUUCCCCAUGUCAUUUCUUGUAACACAAUAGUAUUCCAUUACAAUAAUAUACUAUGACAGUGAAGUUUCUCAGAAGGCAAUACUGUAAUAUUUUUAUCACAAAAUUGGUAAUCCCCUUUGAUUUAGUAAUUACACUGAGAAAAUUUGAUCUUAAAAAAUGAAAUGAAAAAUAAAAAUAAUCUGAACAAAAAAUAUUUAUAACUA
rnacentral:lncRNA from 1 species